GACGAACGCUGGCGGCGUGCUUAACACAUGCAAGUCGAACGGCAAGGCCCUGCUUUUGUGGGGUGCUCGAGUGGCGAACGGGUGAGUAACACGUGAGUAACCUGCCCUUGAUUUUGGGAUAACUUCAGGAAACUGGGGUUAAUACCGGAUAGGAUCUCCUGCUGCAUGGUGGGGGUUGGAAAGUUUCUGCUGUAGGGGCUGGACUCGCGGCUUAUCAGCUUGUUGGUGGGGUAGUGGCAUACCCAGGCUGUGACGGGUAGCCGGCCUGAGAGGGUGACCGGCGACAUUACGACUAAGGUACGCAGCAGAGGGCUACGGUGGGCAACGGUGGCGAAUAUUAUACAGUGAGACGGCGUCUGUGAAGAAGGCGUCGCGUUCGGAAUGACGGCCUGCGGGUUAAGAACCGCUUUCGCCUAUGACGAAGCGUGAGUGACGGUAAUGGGUGAAGAAGCACCGGCUAACUACGUG
rnacentral:rRNA from 1 species